UAAGUUAUUAAGGGCGCACGGUGGAUGCCUUGGCACUAGAAGCCGAUGAAGGACGUUACUAACGACGAUAUGCUUUGGGGAGCUGUAAGUAAGCUUUGAUCCAGAGAUUUCCGAAUGGGGAAACCCAGCAUGAGUUAUGUCAUGUUAUCGAUAUGUGAAUACAUAGCAUAUCAGAAGGCACACCCGGAGAACUGAAACAUCUUAGUACCCGGAGGAAGAGAAAGAAAAUUCGAUUCCCUUAGUAGCGGCGAGCGAAACGGGAAGAGCCCAAACCAACAAGCUUGCUUGUUGGGGUUGUAGGACACUCUAUACGGAGUUACAAAGGACGACAUUAGACGAAUCAUCUGGAAAGAUGAAUCAAAGAAGGUAAUAAUCCUGUAGUCGAAAAUGUUGUCUCUCUUGAGUGGAUCCUGAGUACGACGGAGCACGUGAAAUUCCGUCGGAAUCUGGGAGGACCAUCUCCUAAGGCUAAAUACUCUCUAGUGACCGAUAGUGAACCAGUACCGUGAGGGAAAGGUGAAAAGCACCCGGAAGGGGAGUGAAAUAGAACCUGAAACCGUGUGCUUACAAGUAGUCAGAGCCCGUUAAUGGGUGAUGGCGUGCCUUUUGUAGAAUGAACCGGCGAGUUACGAUUUGAUGCAAGGUUAAGCAGUAAAUGUGGAGCCGUAGCGAAAGCGAGUCUGAAUAGGGCGUUUAGUAUUUGGUCGUAGACCCGAAACCAGGUGAUCUACCCUUGGUCAGGUUGAAGUUCAGGUAACACUGAAUGGAGGACCGAACCGACUUACGUUGAAAAGUGAGCGGAUGAACUGAGGGUAGCGGAGAAAUUCCAAUCGAACCUGGAGAUAGCUGGUUCUCUCCGAAAUAGCUUUAGGGCUAGCCUCAAGUGAUGAUUAUUGGAGGUAGAGCACUGUUUGGACGAGGGCCCCUCUCGGGUUACCGAAUUCAGACAAACUCCGAAUGCCAAUUAAUUUAACUUGGGAGUCAGAACAUGGGUGAUAAGGUCCGUGUUCGAAAGGGAAACAGCCCAGACCACCAGCUAAGGUCCCAAAAUAUAUGUUAAGUGGAAAAGGAUGUGGCGUUGCCCAGACAACUAGGAUGUUGGCUUAGAAGCAGCCAUCAUUUAAAGAGUGCGUAAUAGCUCACUAGUCGAGUGACACUGCGCCGAAAAUGUACCGGGCUAAACAUAUUACCGAAGCUGUGGAUUGUCCUUUGGACAAUGGUAGGAGAGCGUUCUAAGGGCGUUGAAGCAUGAUCGUAAGGACAUGUGGAGCGCUUAGAAGUGAGAAUGCCGGUGUGAGUAGCGAAAGACGGGUGAGAAUCCCGUCCACCGAUUGACUAAGGUUUCCAGAGGAAGGCUCGUCCGCUCUGGGUUAGUCGGGUCCUAAGCUGAGGCCGACAGGCGUAGGCGAUGGAUAACAGGUUGAUAUUCCUGUACCACCUAUAAUCGUUUUAAUCGAUGGGGGGACGCAGUAGGAUAGGCGAAGCGUGCGAUUGGAUUGCACGUCUAAGCAGUAAGGCUGAGUAUUAGGCAAAUCCGGUACUCGUUAAGGCUGAGCUGUGAUGGGGAGAAGACAUUGUGUCUUCGAGUCGUUGAUUUCACACUGCCGAGAAAAGCCUCUAGAUAGAAAAUAGGUGCCCGUACCGCAAACCGACACAGGUAGUCAAGAUGAGAAUUCUAAGGUGAGCGAGCGAACUCUCGUUAAGGAACUCGGCAAAAUGACCCCGUAACUUCGGGAGAAGGGGUGCUCUUUAGGGUUAACGCCCAGAAGAGCCGCAGUGAAUAGGCCCAAGCGACUGUUUAUCAAAAACACAGGUCUCUGCUAAACCGUAAGGUGAUGUAUAGGGGCUGACGCCUGCCCGGUGCUGGAAGGUUAAGAGGAGUGGUUAGCUUCUGCGAAGCUACGAAUCGAAGCCCCAGUAAACGGCGGCCGUAACUAUAACGGUCCUAAGGUAGCGAAAUUCCUUGUCGGGUAAGUUCCGACCCGCACGAAAGGCGUAACGAUUUGGCACUGUCUCAACGAGAGACUCGGUGAAAUCAUAGUACCUGUGAAGAUGCAGGUUACCCGCGACAGGACGGAAAGACCCCGUGGAGCUUUACUGUAGCCUGAUAUUGAAAUUCGGCACAGCUUGUACAGGAUAGGUAGGAGCCUUUGAAACGUGAGCGCUAGCUUACGUGGAGGCGCUGGUGGGAUACUACCCUAGCUGUGUUGGCUUUCUAACCCGCACCACUUAUCGUGGUGGGAGACAGUGUCAGGCGGGCAGUUUGACUGGGGCGGUCGCCUCCUAAAAGGUAACGGAGGCGCUCAAAGGUUCCCUCAGAAUGGUUGGAAAUCAUUCAUAGAGUGUAAAGGCAUAAGGGAGCUUGACUGCGAGACCUACAAGUCGAGCAGGGUCGAAAGACGGACUUAGUGAUCCGGUGGUUCCGCAUGGAAGGGCCAUCGCUCAACGGAUAAAAGCUACCCCGGGGAUAACAGGCUUAUCUCCCCCAAGAGUUCACAUCGACGGGGAGGUUUGGCACCUCGAUGUCGGCUCAUCGCAUCCUGGGGCUGUAGUCGGUCCCAAGGGUUGGGCUGUUCGCCCAUUAAAGCGGUACGCGAGCUGGGUUCAGAACGUCGUGAGACAGUUCGGUCCCUAUCCGUCGUGGGCGUAGGAAAUUUGAGAGGAGCUGUCCUUAGUACGAGAGGACCGGGAUGGACAUACCUCUGGUGUACCAGUUGUCGUGCCAACGGCAUAGCUGGGUAGCUAUGUGUGGACGGGAUAAGUGCUGAAAGCAUCUAAGCAUGAAGCCCCCUCAAGAUGAGAUUUCCCAACUUCGGUUAUAAGAUCCCUCAAAGAUGAUGAGGUUAAUAGGUUCGAGGUGGAAGCAUGGUGACAUGUGGAGCUGACGAAUACUAAUCGAUCGAAGACUUAAUCA
rnacentral:rRNA from 1 species